rnacentral:rRNA from 1 species
UAGAUAUUAGGAAGAACACCAGUGGCGAAGGCGGCUUUCUGGACUGAAACUGACGCUGAGGCUCGAAAGCGUGGGGAGCAAACAGGAUUAGAUACCCUGGUAGUCCACGCCGUAAACGAUGAGUGCUAGGUGUCGGGGAGGAAUCCUCGGUGCCGCAGCUAACGCAAUAAGCACUCCACCUGGGGAGUACGACCGCAAGGUUGAAACUCAAAGGAAUUGACGGGGGCCCGCACAAGCGGUGGAGCAUGUGGUUUAAUUCGAAGCAACGCGAAGAACCUUACCAAGGCUUGACAUCCCGAUGACCGCUCUAGAGAUAGAGCUUCUCUUCGGAGCAUCGGUGACAGGUGGUGCAUGGUUGUCGUCAGCUCGUGUCGUGAGAUGUUGGGUUAAGUCCCGCAACGAGCGCAACCCUUAUCUUCAGUAGCCAUCAUUCAGUUGGGCACUCUGGAGAGACUGCCGUGGAUAACACGGAGGAAGGUGGGGAUGACGUCAAAUCAUCAUGCCCCUUAUGUCUUGGGCUACACACGUGCUACAAUGGCUGGUAACAAAGUGACGCGAAACGGCGACGUUAAGCAAAUCACAAAAACCCAGUCCCAGUUCGGAUUGUAGUCUGCAACUCGACUACAUGAAGCUGGAAUCGCUAGUAAUCGCGAAUCAGCAUGUCGCGGUGAAUACGUUCCCGGGCCUUGUACACACCGCCCGUCACACCAUGGGAGUUGGAAGCACCCGAAGUCGGUGACCUAACCGUAAGGAAGGAGCCGCCGAAGGUGAAGCCAGUGACUGGGGUGAAGUCGUAACAAGGUAACCA